rnacentral:lncRNA from 1 species
CUGGUCAACCUUAGUCCGAUAACGGUAUGUAUGAAAAACGGACGAAAAAUUUUGGAACUUUGAUGCCGGUUUUGAGCAAGUUUUUAAUUAAAAUUCAGUAUGAGCGCAGCUUUGCCCCACUGAAAUAUUUCAACAUAAGAUGCUUUAUGUUGAUAUUAUUGCUCUGAUUAAAUAUUUCGUUGGGGCAAGAAUGCGCUGGUACUUUUUUCGUAAAAAAAGUUAGUGAAAAUGAGUAAAAAAUUGUGAAAAGCCAACAAAUAUGCACGUGAAGUGUUGUCAAAACACGGCAUUAUGACGUCAUAACUACAAAAAAACAUUUUUUUUCAUAAAAUGAAUAUGUGUAACGGAAAAAGAAAGCCAUACACAUACGAAUAAGUAGAAUUUGAAAAAUUCUCGAAAUUGAGGCCAAUUUUGCCCCUUAUAGCCCC